rnacentral:rRNA from 1 species
UAGGGAAUCUUCCACAAUGGGCGAAAGCCUGAUGGAGCAACGCCGCGUGUGUGAUGAAGGCUUUCGGGUUGUAAAGCACUGUUGUAUGGGAAGAACAGCUAGAAUAGGAAAUGAUUUUAGUUUGACGGUACCAUACCAGAAAGGGACGGCUAAAUACGUGCCAG